CAGGCUUAACACAUGCAAGUCGAGGGGCAGCAUCAUUAAAGCUUGCUUUGAUGGAUGGCGACCGGCGCACGGGUGAGUAACACGUAUCCAACCUGCCGACAACACUGGGAUAGCCUUUCGAAAGAAAGAUUAAUACCGGAUGGCAUAGUCUUCCCGCAUGGGAUGACUAUUAAAGAAUUUCGGUUGUCGAUGGGGAUGCGUUCCAUUAGGCAGUUGGCGGGGUAACGGCCCACCAAACCAACGAUGGAUAGGGGUUCUGAGAGGAAGGUCCCCCACAUUGGAACUGAGACACGGUCCAAACUCCUACGGGAGGCAGCAGUGAGGAAUAUUGGUCAAUGGACGAGAGUCUGAACCAGCCAAGUAGCGUGAAGGAUGACUGCCCUAUGGGUUGUAAACUUCUUUUAUACGGGAAUAAAGUGAGCCACGUGUGGCUUUUUGUAUGUACCGUAUGAAUAAGGAUCGGCUAACUCCGUGCCAGCAGCCGCGGUAAUACGGAGGAUCCGAGCGUUAUCCGGAUUUAUUGGGUUUAAAGGGAGCGUAGAUGGGUUGUUAAGUCAGUUGUGAAAGUUUGCGGCUCAACCGUAAAAUUGCAGUUGAUACUGGCGACCUUGAGUGCAACAGAGGUAGGCGGAAUUCGUGGUGUAGCGGUGAAAUGCUUAGAUAUCACGAAGAACUCCGAUUGCGAAGGCAGCUUACUAACCUGUAACUGACAUUGAUGCUCGAAAGUGUGGGUAUCAAACAGGAUUAGAUACCCUGGUAGUCCACACGGUAAACGAUGAAUACUCGCUGUAGGCGAUAUACAGUCUGCGGCCAAGCGAAAGCAUUAAGUAUUCCACCUGGGGAGUACGCCGGCAACGGUGAAACUCAAAGGAAUUGACGGGGGCCCGCACAAGCGGAGGAACAUGUGGUUUAAUUCGAUGAUACGCGAGGAACCUUACCCGGGCUUAAAUUGCAACCGAAUAUGGCGGAAACGCUAUAGCUAGCAAUAGCGGUUGUGAAGGUGCUGCAUGGUUGUCGUCAGCUCGUGCCGUGAGGUGUCGGCUUAAGUGCCAUAACGAGCGCAACCCUUGCCGAUAGUUACUAACAGGUCAUGCUGAGGACUCUGUCGGGACUGCCAUCGUAAGAUGUGAGGAAGGUGGGGAUGACGUCAAAUCAGCACGGCCCUUACGUCCGGGGCUACACACGUGUUACAAUGGGGGGUACAGAGGGCUGCUACCACGCAAGUGGAUGCCAAUCCCAAAAACCUCUCUCAGUUCGGAUUGAAGUCUGCAACCCGACUUCAUGAAGCUGGAUUCGCUAGUAAUCGCGCAUCAGCCACGGCGCGGUGAAUACGUUCCCGGGCCUUGUACACACCGCCCGUCAAGCCAUGGGAGCCGGGGGUACCUGAAGUGCGUAACCGCAAGGAGCGCCCUAGGGUAAAACUGGUGACUGGGGC
rnacentral:rRNA from 1 species